CCCAGAAGGUGGCUCUGAGCAAGUCUUCACAUUUGCCAUUUGAUUAAUUAAAGAUAAAUGGCGGAGACUUUUCCCUAAAUGGGUUACUUGAUUUAAGAGCUGCUGGCUAAUUUUGGUCGGAUAAUUUAAUAGAAGAGGGAAGAGGAAAGGAAAGAAAGGGGCUUGAAGAAAGAGGAAGAGAAAAGAAACACAAGGAUGGAGAACAAGGAGAGACCAUUUGUUCUCAAACAGUAGCUGCCACUUCUAGCUGGGAGAGAAAUGAGAGCUCUGCUCAUGGUGAUCCAGUAUCUCCAGAAUCCAUCACCACUGCUGACCUCCCACUCCAUGUCUCCAAGUGCUCUGCUAUACCUGCCACCAGCAGCUGCCACCUCCAGACUUUGGAAGGUUAUAAUAAAACCUCUGUUCUACGAUCUGCCUUCUGCUUCAACAUCCUCACUCCCCACAAACAAUUCUA
rnacentral:lncRNA from 1 species